AACGGCCGUACCAUGCUGAAUAUACCGGUUCUCGUUAGAUCACCGAAGUCAAGCAUCAUUGGGCGAGGUCAGUACUUGGGUGGGUGACCACCUGGGAACACUGCGUGCCGUU